AUGCAUGCAAGUCGAGCGAGGCAGCAAUGCCUAGCGGCGAACGGGUGAGUAACGCGUAAGCAAUCCUGCCCCAUAUCAGGAAAUACCCGUGCCAACGCGCGGUUAAUGUCCAGGAGCGUGGCCUUCCGCAUGGGAGGUUGACAAGAGAUUUAUCGGUAUGGGAUGAGCUUGCGUCCGAUUAGCUAGUGGCGGGGCAACGGCCCACCAAGGCGACGAUCGGUAGCCGGCCUGAGAGGGUGAUCGGCCACAUUGGGACUGAGAUACGGCCCAGACUCCUACGGGAGGCAGCAGUAGGGAAUAUUGCACAAUGGGGGAAACCCUGAUGCAGCAACGCCACGUGUGGGAAGAAGCAUUCGGUGUGUAAACCACUGUCGUGAGGGAAUAAGGCGUCUUCUCGGAGACGUUGAAUGUACCUCGAAAGGAAGCACCGGCAAACUUCGUGCCAGCCGCAGC
rnacentral:rRNA from 1 species